rnacentral:lncRNA from 1 species
GCAAGCUGGCCUGGGCAGGGCUUUUUAUGUGUUCAGUUUCGUGCUGUAGGCACCCACGCAUUGUGCAAACAUCCACACAUACAGCAAGCAUCAAUGCAUACGGUAAACCUCCACGUAUACAGCAAGCAUCAAUGCAUACAGUAAACCUCCAUGUAAACAGCAAGCAUCAACGCAUAAGCAAGCCUCCAUGUAUAGCAAGCUCAAUGCAUACAGUAAACCACGUAUACAGCAAGCAUCAAUGCAUACAGUAAACAUCCACGCAUGCAGCAAGCAUCAAUGCAUACAGUAAACCUCCAUGUAUACAGCAAGCAUCAGUGCAUACAGUAAACCUCCAUGUAUACAGCAAGCAUCAAUGCAUAAGCAAGCCUCCAUGUAUACAGCAAGCAUCAGUGCAUACAGUAAACCUCCAUGCAUACAGCAAGUAUCAAUGCAUAAGCAAGCCUCCACGUAUACAGCAAGCAUCAGUGCAUACAGUAAACCUCCACAUAUACAACAAGCAUCAAUGCAUACAGUAAACCUCCAUGUAUACAGCAAGCAUCAGUGCAUACAGUAAACCUCCAUGCAUACAGCAAGCAUCAAUGCAUAAGCAAGCCUCCAUGUAUACAGCAAGCAUCAGUGCAUACAGUAAACCUCCAUGCAUACAGCAAGCAUCAAUGCAUAAGCAAGCCUCCACGUAUACAGCAAGCAUCAAUGCAUAAGCAAGCCUCCAUGUAUACAGCAGGCACACGCACAGCUGCGGAGUGUACUCUGAGCUGUGGGUCCCAGCACCGAUGCCCCGCACCUGGCAGAGCUCGGCCGCCGCUCCGCGCCCACAGCUGGGGGCUCUGACUCCCACGGCCAGCCCCUGGCGGGGACUGGGCACAGGAGAGAUGGACUCAGCGCUGCCCCCGGGGGACCCGGCUCCACCCCCGCCCCCCACGUCCAGCUGCACGUGGACCCCAUGUGGCUGGAUCUGCCCGGAGGGGGCGGGCGCGGGGGCACAAGCUCCGGGCUCGCAGCUCCAGAAGUCCCGGGGGCCAGGAACAGAGACAAGGAGACUGAGGACAGGGGGUGGGGGGACCUGCCUGUCCCCUUUCCCCCCCCCCCCUCUGCAGUGGAGGAUGGCCCAGGUGCUUGGGUCCUGCACCGCAUGGGAGACCAGGAAAAGCACCUGGUCUCCUGGCUCCUGCCAUCGGAUCAGGGCAGUGAAGCGGCUGCAGUCCGCCCAGGCCGCGGCGGCCAAUUGAGGGGUAUACCCAACGGCCAAGGGACGACCUUUCUCUCUGUCUCUCUCUCUCACCUGUCCACUCUGCCUAUCUAAAAACAAUAGAAAAAGAGAAAUGCAUGAAGUUCUUAUACCUUGAAUAAAAGGUUUCUGGUGAAAGAUAAGUGAAUAAAU